GUUCCCAUCCCGAACACAGAAGUUAAGCUCAUGGGUGCCGAAAAUACUUGGCUGGAGACGGCCCGGGAAGAUAGGACGAUGCCGGCA
rnacentral:rRNA from 1 species